GGGGUCGACUGGUUUUGACAGCAGGACGCAUGAAAUGGUAAGCAAGUCGAGCGCUGAAUUAGAGCUCGUAAAUCUCAUUUUUCAUAUUUUUAAAUGGCGAAAAUAACUACGCUCUAGCUGCAUAAUUAACAGAAUUAUAGUAUGUUAAUGCCAAGUCCUGACUAGGUCGGGAAGCUGGAUGUCUCUGGAUAGCCCUUGUUGACGGCGAUUUAUAUUGAGGCACCAUAAAAGUCAACAUCGAAACGUAGGGGCAUCGGUUGCGUUUUACAAUUUAUGAUGUUAAGGGUAUAAUGGAUAGUUUUCGAUCAGCUAUACCUCGAAAAUCAAACGAAAGCUAAACUUGUAGAAAGCUAUUGAAUCACUUGUUUGGACGAGGGUUCGAUUCCCUCCGACUCCACU
rnacentral:tmRNA from 1 species